AAGACUAUAGACCUGCGGAGUACCUGCGGAAGGAUCAUUACAGAGUUACUACUCCAAACCCAUUGUGAACCUUACCUAUGUUCUGUUGCCUCGGCGGCGUGGUCAGCGCCCCUCUGAAAAGAGGACGAUGCCCUCCCGCCGGCAGCACCAAACUCUUUGAAUUUUACAGCGGAUUACAGUUCUGAUUUGAAAACAAAAAACAAGUUAAAACUUUUAACAACGGAUCUCUAGAUCGGAAGA
rnacentral:misc_RNA from 1 species